UACUAUAACUAGUCUAAUGGAAUAUUAUUUCAAGACCCUUUACUAUGCAUUUCCCUCCUAUAAAUACUUGCUCCUUAUUCAGCAAGAGAUAUCAAACACUCCAAAGUUGUUCCAAAUCUGCAUAUUAUAUUUUCUCUUACAUAAUGACUCUUAAUUUUCCUUUUUUAUCUAAGGGGUGGAGGAGGAGUUAAUAGGGAAUUAUGUUGUUGACAGAAGAUAGAGAGCACAGAUGAUGAUAUGCAUUUGUAGGACCUGCUGGCUGCAUCAAUGGAUUGUGCAUCUCACUCCUUUGUGCUCUCUAUGCUUCUGUCAUCACCUUCUUCCUCCAAUUUCCAUUAACUUUCCUCUACUCCCAAUUUUUUUUUUAUGUUAAGACAUGUUUGAUGUGUGAUAUGUGUCACUAUCCAAGUGUCUAAUGCAGAUAUAUGUAUGAUUACAUUCAAUUAUUAUCCAUGUUAAUCGUCUUAAGUUUUUGAAAAAUUCAUCUGAGACAAAAUAGCCAUCGGCCCUAUUUAGAGUUUAAUUUUGCCAAAUCUAUGAUAAGGUGUUAUUUAUCCAUAAUUUAUCAGUGACAAAUUUGAGACUUUUGAUUGUAGCCAAUCUAUGACACUUUCAAAGACGGCCCUGAUAUUAAUAUUGGAGAUAUGCACAUGCUGUGGCUGCUAGAGACCUGUUUGUUGAUGUCAUGCAGAAUUUGCUUGGUUGGCAUUCAUUCAUGAUCUAGUGGAAGCUGCGGUUUUGAACUUCUUCUACUUAUUCUUGUUUUUGUUGGUGUGGUUUUUUGUGUAUUCUCAAUUUGUUUAUGAUAUUAAAUUUUUGUUCAA